UACGUAGGGGGCAAGCGUUGUCCGGAAUUACUGGGCGUAAAGAGCUCGUAGGUGGUUUGUCGCGUUGUUCGUGAAAACCUGAGGCUUAACCUUGGGCGUGCGGGCGAUACGGGCAGACUGGAGUACUGCAGGGGAGACUGGAAUUCCUGGUGUAGCGGUGGAAUGCGCAGAUAUCAGGAGGAACACCGGUGGCGAAGGCGGGUCUCUGGGCAGUAACUGACGCUGAGGAGCGAAAGCGUGGGGAGCGAACAGG
rnacentral:rRNA from 1 species